rnacentral:tRNA from 1 species
GGAGGGUUAGUCUAAUUGGUAAGGCAACGGACUUGAAAUCCGUCGUCCGAAAGGACAUGCAGGUUCGAGUCCUGCACCCUCCG